rnacentral:rRNA from 1 species
UACGUAGGGGGCGAGCGUUGUCCGGAUUUAUUGGGCGUAAAGGGCGCGUAGGCGGCCUUCUAAGUCAGACGUGAAAUCCCCCGGCUUAACCUGGGAACUGCGUCUGAUACUGGAAGGCUUGAGUGCGGGAGAGGGAUGUGGAAUUCCAGGUGUAGCGGUGAAAUGCGUAGAUAUCUGGAGGAACACCGGUGGCGAAGGCGGCAUCCUGGACCGACACUGACGCUGAGGCGCGAAAGCUAGGGUAGCAAACGGG